rnacentral:lncRNA from 1 species
CAUGGGGGGCUCAGUCAUAUUGCCAUGCGCGUACCCAUGUUUUUGGGAGCGCCGUCUCGCCAUCUGUGACUGGUUUUUUCAAGAUAAAUUGAAUGAAGAGACAAUUUUACAGUUUCCACUUAAGGGCAUAAAAGAGACAAUCUUAUAGUUUCCACUUAGGGGCAUAGAUGAUAUGACAUGGCAGCGCAUUUAUGAAACGUGGGGAUUUGCUAUUUUUAGGUUACAACAUAGAUAAACACGAGUAUAGAUUAUCCGUAAAUCCCUAGCGUAUAUCAUAGAUGUUAUUAAGAAAUGAGCAUUAAUAUUGAUCGUUGCUGUAUGCCUCAGUGUGAUGAUACAUCUUCAAGGCGGUGUCUAUUUGGUCAGAAUCCAAAGUUGAGAAUGGUUCGGAUCAGGCGGAUUGGGUGUGACAAGUAUUUUAUAACUUUACACUUAUUAUUAUUAUACUUAUUAUCGUAGAUUUUAGACUUAUCAACCCGAUAUCCUGGUACACAAUUAUAUGUCGGUAUAUGUUAUUGUGAUGUUCAUCCAACUACCUAAAUAUAUAUCUGCAUUGAUAAUUGCACUUAAUUAA